rnacentral:rRNA from 1 species
AUAACACGAGGAAACUUGUGCUAAUACCGGAUAAGUCUUUACGGAGAAAGCUUUAUGCACCAUUGGAUGAGCCUGCACUUGAUUAGUUUGUUGGUGGGGUAAUGGCCUACCAAGACUGUGAUCAAUAGCUGAUUUGAGAGGAUGAUCAGCCACAUUGGGACUGAGACACGGCCCAAACUCCUACGGGAGGCAGCAGUGGGGAAUCUUGCACAAUGGAGGAAACUCUGAUGCAGCGAUGCCGCGUGAGUGAAGAAGGCCUUUGGGUUGUAAAGCUCUUUCGUCGGGGAAGAAAAUGACUGUACCCGAAUAAGA